ensembl:snRNA U6 U6 spliceosomal RNA
GUGCUCACUUCAGCACUACACUUACUAAAAUUGUAACGAUACAGGGAAAGUUAGCAUGGUCCCUGUGCAAGGAUGACACAAAUUCAUGAAGUGUUCCAUACUUAA